rnacentral:rRNA from 1 species
AUUGAACGCUGGCGGCAGGCCUAACACAUGCAAGUCGAACGAUUGGCGGACGGGGGAGUCAUGUCUGGGACACUGCCCGAUGGAGGGGGAUAACUACUGGAAACGGUAGCUAAUACCGCAUACCAUCGGAUGUGCCCAGAUGGGAUUAGCUAGUGGGUGGGGUAACGGGUCACCGAGGCGACGAUCCCUAGCUGGUCUGAGAGGAUGACGGGACCCACUGGAACUGAGACAGGGUCCAGACGCCUACGGGAGGCAGCAGUGGGGAAUAUUGCACAAUGGGCGAAAGCCUGAUGGAGACAGGCCGCGGGUAUGAAGAAGGUCUUCGGGUUGUAAAGUACUUUCAGCGAGGAGACGUUACUCGCAGAAGAAGCACCGGCUAAAUCCGUGCCAGCAGCCGCGGUAAUAC